AACGAACGCUGGCGGCGUGCCUAACACAUGCAAGUCGAGCGCGAACGGAGCAAUCCUAGUAGAGCGGCGCACGGGUGCGUAACACGUGGGUAAUCUGCCUGGGAGUCCGGAACAACCUGCCGAAAGGCAAGCUAAUGCCGGAUAAGCCCACAGGAUCUUCGGAUCUGGUGGGAAAAGAUGGCCUCUAUUUAUAAGCUAUCUCUUCCAGAUGAGCCCGCGGCCCAUCAGCUAGUUGGCGGGGUAAUGGCCCACCAAGGCAACGACGGGUAGCUGGCCUGAGAGGACGAUCAGCAACACUGGAACUGCGACACGGUCCAGACUCCUGCGGGAGGCAGCAGUGGGGAAUUUUGCGCAAUGGGCGAAAGCCUGACGCAGCAACGCCGUGUGUGUGAUGAAGGUUUUCGGAUCGUAAAGCACUUUCGACCGGGAAGAAACCGCAUUGGCUAACAUCCGAUGCUCUGACGGUACCGGGAGAAGAAGCACCGGCUAACUCUGUGCCAGCCGCCGCCGUAAUAC
rnacentral:rRNA from 1 species